AGAGUUUGAUCCUGGCUCAGGAUGAACGCUGGCGGCGUGUUUAACACAUGCAAGUCGAGGAGAUGUUUCUCAGUAGAUUCUUCGGAUGAUACAGAGUUACGGAAAGCGGCGGACGGGUAGUAACGCGUAGGCAACCUGCCCCUUGCAGAGGGAUAGCCUCGGGAAACCGGGAUUAAACCUCAUAAUGCGGCACUGAGACAUCUCAGAGCCGCCAAAGAUUUAUCGGCAAGGGAUGGCCUGCGUCUGAUUAGUUAGUUGGUGGGGUAACGGCCUACCAAGGCGACGAUCAGUAGCCACCUGAGAGGGUGAUCGGCCACAUUGGAACUGAGACACGGUCCAAACUCCUACGGGAGGAGCAGUGGAGAAUCUUGCACAAUGGGCGAAAGCCUGAUGCAGCAACGCCGCGUGAAGGAGAAGGCCCUUGGGUCGUAAACUUCUGUUCUAAGGGAAGAUAAUGACGGUACCUUAGGAGAAGUCCCGGCUAACUACGUGCCAGCAGCCGCGGUAAUACGUAGGGGGCAAGCGUUAUCCGAAUUAUUGGGCGUAAAGAGUACGUAGGUGGUUUCCUAAGCGAGGGGUUUAAGGCAAUGCUUAACCAUUGUUCGCCCCCCGAACUGGGUUACUUGAGUGCUGGAGGGGAAAGCGGAAUCCUAGUGUAGCGGUGAAAUGCGUAGAUAUUAGGAGGAACACCAGUGGCGAAGGCGGCUUCUGGACAGUAACUGACACUGAGGUACGAAAGUGUGGGGAGCAAACAGGAUUAGAUACCC
rnacentral:rRNA from 1 species